CCUACGGGAGGCAGCAGUGAGGAAUAUUGGUCAAUGGCCGUAAGGCUGAACCAGCCAUGUCGCGUGAAGGAAGAAGGAUCUAUGGUUUGUAAACUUCUUUUAUAGGGGGAUAAAGGUAUCCACGUGUGGAUAUCUGAAUGUACCCUAUGAAUAAGAAUCGGCUAACUCCGUGCCAGCAGCCGCGGUAAUACGGAGGAUGCAAGCGUUAUCCGGAUUUAUUGGGUUUAAAGGGUGCGUAGGUGGUUUGUUAAGUCAGCGGUGAAAGUUUGUGGCUCAACCAUAAAAUUGCCGUUGAUACUGGUAGACUUGAGUGUGUUUGCGGUAGGCGGAAUGCGUGGUGUAGCGGUGAAAUGCAUAGAUAUCACGCAGAACUCCGAUUGCGAAGGCAGCUUACUAAUCCAUAACUGACACUGAGGCACGAAAGCGUGGGGAUCAAACAGGAUUAGAUACCCCAGUAGUC
rnacentral:rRNA from 1 species